rnacentral:rRNA from 1 species
UACAGAGGUGGCAAGCGUUGUUCGGAAUUACUGGGCGUAAAGGGCGCGUAGGCGGUCUUCUAAGUCUUGUGUGAAAUCCCUCGGCUCAACUGAGGAACUGCACGGGAUACUGGAAGACUUGAGUUCGGGAGAGGGAAGCGGAAUUCCGGGUGUAGCGGUGAAAUGCGUAGAUAUCCGGAGGAACACCGGUGGCGAAGGCGGCUUCCUGGACCGAUUACUGACGCUGAGGCGCGAAAGCGUGGGGAGCGAACAGG